UCAAGUUCAAAAUUCAGGUGUGGGGAAUUUAUUCAGUACAUGCCGUGGUUAAUUCUUGUCCAUUUUAAUAUUAUGUGUUUACCAUAUGUGAGUUGCAUUAAAUUCAGUUAUAUCGCUAGGGGCCCGCUCAAUGGGUCCAGGACUUCACCGUCCUUGGUAUGCCACAAUGCGAUUUCAUGUUACAGUUAUGGUUGCAACCAGUCGCCAGGGGCCGGCUCAAUCGGUCCAGGACGGAAAGGUCCUUGGUAUGCCACCGUGCGACUUUCAGUUACGAAUGUAUUGAUCAUAUGUGAUUCUCAUUUUAUUAACGUGGACAAUGAUUGCAUGUUCCCACACUGAGUGUACCCUGUAUGCUCAUCCCAUACUUAACAUUUUCAGGUUUUAAAGGCCGGAGGCGCGUGGAAGGUCGAAUGGCGAAUCAAAUAUUUUGAAUUUAGUUUUACUUAAAAAUGUUAUUUUGAGUAAAGUAUGUUUAAAUAAAUAUUUAUUUC
rnacentral:lncRNA from 1 species